GAGUUUGAUCCUGGCUCAGGAUGAACGCUAGCGGCAGGCCUAACACAUGCAANUUCGAGGGGUAACGAUGUCUUCGGACAGUCGACGACCGGCGCACGGGUGAGUAUCGCGUUUGUAACCUACCUUUAACUGGAGAAUAGCCCGAGGAAAUUCGGAUUAAUACUCCAUAAUACUAUGAUCUGGCAUCUUUUUAUAGUAAAAGCUCCGGCGGUUAAAGAUGGGCAUGCGUAACAUUAGUUUGUUGGUGAGGUAACGGCUCACCAAGACUACGAUGUUUAGGGGGUCUGAGAGGAUGGUCCCCCACACUGGUACUGAGACACGGACCAGACUCCUACGGGAGGCAGCAGUGAGGAAUGUUGGUCAAUGGGCGCAAGCCUGAACCAGCCAUGCCGCGUGAAGGAUGACGGCGCUAUGCGUUGUAAACUUCUUUUGUACAGGAAGAAACUCUUCUACGUGUAGAAGCUUGACGGUACUGUACGAAUAAGCACCGGCUAACUCCGUGCCAGCAGCCGCGGUAAUACGGAGGGUGCAAGCGUUAUCCGGAUUUAUUGGGUUUAAAGGGUACGUAGGCGGAAAAUUAAGUCAGUAGUGAAAUCCUGCAGCUUAACUGUAGAACUGUUAUUGAUACUGGUUUUCUUGAAUAUAGUUGAGGUAGGCGGAAUGUGUAAUGUAGCGGUGAAAUGCUUAGAUAUUACACAGAACACCGAUUGCGAAGGCAGCUUACUAAGCUAUGAUUGACGCUGAGGUACGAAAGCGUGGGGAGC
rnacentral:rRNA from 1 species